GGGUCAGUAGGUUGGUCGUGCCACCGGUACGUACUGGUCUCACUGAUUCCUCCUUCCUGAAGAACCGUAAUGCCAUUAAUUGGUGUUGCGGGGAAACAGGACUGUUACUUUGAAAAAAUUAGAGUGUUUAAAGCAAGCUAACGCUUGAAUACAUUAGCAUGGAAUAAUGAAAUAGGACGAUCGAUCCUAUUUUGUUGGUUUCUAGGAUUGACGUA
rnacentral:rRNA from 1 species